CAGUCGCCACGGUAACACCGAGGGUGCGAGCGUUAAUCGGAUUUACUGGGCGUAAAGCGUGCGUAGGCGGCUUCUUAAGUCGGAUGUGAAAUCCCUGAGCUUAACUUAGGAAUUGCAUUCGAUACUGGGAAGCUAGAGUAUGGGAGAGGAUGGUAGAAUUCCAGGUGUAGCGGUGAAAUGCGUAGAGAUCUGGAGGAAUACCGAUGGCGAAGGCAGCCAUCUGGCCUAAUACUGACGCUGAGGUACGAAAGCAUGGGGAGCAAACAGGAUUAGAUACCCCGGUAGUCCCUGUCUCUUAUAA
rnacentral:rRNA from 1 species